GGUCGCACACUCACGUAGUUGUCUCCGUCAGCCUCCAGCCACGAACGGGUCUUGCUCCUGCUCCUCAUCGUGAAAAGUGCAUAAAUUCAAUCAAGUACCAUGCGUCGUUGCGUGUGCAUCGCAGCGAUCCUUGUAGCCUUGUAUGCCUUCGCUGUCGCCCACCCUGCUGACAGUCCUCUUGUCAGGCAGAAGAGGCAAGGAGGAUUUCUGGACGCUCUCAGCGGGUUUGGCACACAGGUGCAACAGGCAGCCAGCCAGUUCCCUAGCCAAGUGCAACAAGCAGCGAGCGAGUUCCCCAGCCGGGUGCAGGAAGCGGCCAACACAUUCCGAAAUUGGGCGAGCAACGUUGGACAGACAGUCUCUAGUGGGGCAUCGGCUGCUUUACAAAGGAUAAGGGGGACCUUCUCACCAUCUUCACCAUCUUCUUCUUCUUCAUCACCUUCCAUUUCUAAUUCCUCCUUGGACUUUGUUUAAUUACGUACGUCGUUGUUACUAAAUUGUCACUAUUUCGGUGCAUAUAUUUCCGAACUCAUCUUACAUCCUGUCGUCUCGUAGAAGAGAAUCCUUUCAAAACUCGAACGUCAGAGCCCGUUCUCAUCCGCGUGUACCAAGUCUGUGAAUAAAGAGAACCUUCUU